rnacentral:lncRNA from 1 species
UCUAUACACCUUAAGAACAUCAUACUUUGCAGUGUUUCUAGAAAUUGACUUAACAUCAGGGUGCAAAAAACAGAGUAAGUCAACUAUCCCUUCAUGUUCGACAAAAGUAAAAGGAUAAUUGUGUUUGACAAUUACCUCAGGAAUUUUCCCCCUAUACUUUUCUUGAUCAAGUGGAGGAUAAGAAGAUCAAUUCCCUCUUCCAACACAUUUCAGUGAAUGUUUUAUCAAAUUUGAAGUGCCACCACCAUCUCUAGCCAUGUAAAUUUUAUCAUAAUUUUUGCAUUUUGCCUUUGGGAGUCAUUUAUCAUUAAAAAACUUUUCAAAAAAUUCCCAAGCCAUAGAAGUUUUUGUUCUUUUUGAACUAGGGACUGAACUUUCAUCAACUUCGUCCUCAAUUUGAAUUACGAGUUCAUCUCCUUCGGUAGACAUAUUUCCUAUAAUUUGACAAUGAUUAAAGGUGAGUGUAAAGGAAAUCAAACUAAAUUAUCCAAUAAAAUAAACAAUAAUUAAGCAUAUAUGAACAACAAGCAUCCAAAAUUGAUUAUAAUUAUAUAGAAAAUAUGCAUUUCACCAUGCAGACCCUAUGAAGACUAUACAUUAUUCUUUUUUUAAGGCAGUGCAGUUUCAUAAUAUAGCAUUAGCAAAGAGAAUAUCUCUAUGUUAAAAAAUCCACAACAAAGAAAUUGAACUGAUAAAAGUGUAGUGAGAUGAUAACUUUUACUGGGCUGAUUUGACACAUUGAGAGCAUGAGGUAAAACAUCAUUUGUAAUGGAUCAUAUAAUAAACAAUAUAUUUCCAAUUUGAUUAAAUGUAGGGAAGGUAACUUUUAAGACAUGUUUUAACCUUACCUAUACAAUCGACUAAUGGAUGGUUUGUUGUUUUAUAUUAUCUAGUGUAUUGUUAUGUCUACUCUGAUCUAUUUUCAAAUGGAUAAAGUAGAUAUGUUAUUUGACAUUUUAUCAUGUACUACCAAAGUGUAUUUUCCUACUUUAGUAUCAUGUACAUAAAGUUCAGCCACAUUGGGAAUCAAACCACAUGUUUACUAUGGAAAUAUUGAUUCAUUUAUAUGCUUUAAAUUAGUAAUUAACCAUCCAUCUUUAUGUGAUGUAAUGUCUAUUAUAUUUACACUAUUUAAGUUGUUCUAACUGUAUUUAAAUUAAAAGAUUAUUAAUUGAAAUGAUUAAUUAUUGUUUACACUCAGGAUUAUAAUUUCAUCUAACAUUGCAUUGUCUUAAAUAAAUAAGUUGAUAGUUGUUAACAUUUUUUGUUAAAGAUUGAGUAUGGAUUUCUUAGUUUAAGCUAUUUCUUUUUUCAUGGUACCAUAAAACCAUACAAUAGGCUACCAUGCUAUUUCUUUUGUGCAUUAAUUUUUAAGUGGUGUAUUUUAUGUUUGCAAGGUGGAUUUGGCAUUUCAGUUCAAGUUUCAUAAGCAGAAUAGUUGCUUCAAAGUUCAUAUACUGUAAGUACAUGUCUUAAAGUUCAUAUGUUGUAAGGGACAAUAAGUUUCAAUGUUUCUCAUGUUCAAAACUCAAAAUUAUUAGAACAUCUCUUAUGUCAACACAAAUUCAUUAUCAUUACAUAACAGUGUUACAGACUAUACAACCUCAACCUAACUAUUUGCAAAAGAGAAUAUCUAAACCUUGUAUAUUUCUAAGAUACUCUAUGUCUCAACAUGAUUAUUUUUGUGUAUAACCAUUGUCAUUUCCAUAUCAAUCCAUAAUCAAACAAUAACCUAGCCAAAUUAUUCAAACAAAUGAUAAUGCAAUUCAAAGCAUUAUUCAUGUUCAAUUUGCACCAAACUCCAACAUAAAGAAAGUUCAAAAUUGAUACUUCAAUAUGCUAAAAAAAAUGAUGACUAACGCAUUUAUAAGAGUAAAAUAAUAACUUUAGCUCAUUACACAAUUUCAUUACUUGAGACAGGGUAUCAAACUCUUUUGUUAAGACAAGUAAACGUCUCUUAAACUCUCAUGCAUUCCACCAUAUAAAUAAGUUAUGCAACUGCACCAACAAAUCAAGCUGAUACACAGGUUCCUGUAAUCGAUUUAAAAUCAGAUUUUCCAACACGGAAGCUCAUUUCUUGUCAGAUUCUUAAUUUUAAAUUUAUAUUUAUGCCAUAGUUGUAGAGAUUUAAACAAGUGAUUAUAUUUUGCUAAUAUAGUUCAUAUAACAAACAACAGAUGAUAACUACAUGUAGUGCUGCACACUGUGUUCACCAAACAACAUUUUGGAUACUCAAAAACUUGAGAUCCUAGUUUCGAAUUUGAUUUUGCAGCAGCUAGCAGGUCAGCAGUGUAAGAACAAAAAUUGUUCUACAACAGAUUCCUUGAUUUUGAUGAUAACAAAGGAUGAAACCAAAAAUGGCACCCUAACGAAAAGUUUCUAAGUGUGCAGGAUUCUAAAGAAAGAAGGAAGAAAUCCUGAUGAUGUCCAUCAGAUACACAAACCAGAAUCAGAAUACAAACAGUAAUCAAAUGAUCAAGAAGCAUCUGGAAGUGAAAACCCAAGUUCAAGAAAGUCUAACUCUGAGUAAAAACAACAAGUAUCAGAUGCAUCUGAACAAGAAAAGUAAAGCUCUAGAAGUUCUGACUCUGAACAAUACUAUCCUCUAGAUUCCAGAAGUUAUCAGCGCUAUCUGAAGAAAACUAUCUGAACUCAACAUCAGAAGCAAGAUUUGAAAAGAUUCUCCAGAAACACAAAUACUCUGAGCAUGGAUUGCUAAUCAUGAAAGAGUAACGUUAAAGUCAAGUAAAGAUUUGCAAAUGGUUUUCCUAAUUAAGAAAGAGACGUUAAUCUCCGUUUUCAAAUAAAGAAGAUACUACUUGUGGUAAGUAGUCAUUUCAAGGAGAGAAAGUUAUCCUGCAGAAGCUAUUUAAGUGAUGCGUAAAUUCAUUUUAAAUAUCCACCAGUUUCAUUUACUACCUCACUUCUAUAUAUAAGGACUGCAAAUCAACAUUCAGCAAUAUACAAGUAUUAGCUAACAAGCCAAAAUAUACUGAAACAUCAACACUCAAGAAAAACACUCUUGCUCUCUAAGAUCUUCACGAAGCUUUUGCUUAUUACGUGAAAAACUCUUGUUCUUACUAUUGUAAUAUCUGCUUUCUUAGAAGCAUUCUAGAUUACAUUAAUCUUUCAUUUAUUUGUUUGUUGAUUUCCUCAAGUGACUCUGUGUAGUCUGUAAUACUUGAGAGGACUAAGAGAUUUUUCUCUUAGACGUUGUUUGUAAUCUUUCAAGAUUAGUGGAUUAAGUCCUUGUUGAAGCGAAUCACUUGGCCGGGUGGACUGGAGUAGCUUUGUAUUAUAAGCGAACCAGUAUAAAAUCAUUGUGUGGUUUUCAUUUUGAAAAAAGCGCUUAUUUUUCCAAACAAUUCAAACCCCCCUUUCUUGUUUUUUCUCACCUUCAAUUGGUAUCAGAGCUCCGGCUCUGUUAUUGAAUUUUCUAACAACACUUAACAGUGUUAGAGAGAUCCAGUACGAGAAAAACCAUGGCCCACUCAAAUGAAAGAGAUAGUUACAAUGCUAAGCCUCCUGUUUUUGAUGGAGAGAAAUUUGAUUACUGGAAAGAUAGAAUCGAAAGUUUCUUUUGGUUAUGACGCUGACCUCUGGGACAUUGUCACAGAUGGAACACACCUCCAGUCUCAAGAAAUGGAGCUGAAGUUCCCAGAAAAUAGAUUCAGAAGAUCAAAAACGUAUCUUCAAAAAUCACCACAAGGCCAGAACAAUACUUCUAAAUGCUAUAUCAUACAACGAAUUAUGAAAAGAUCACCAACAGAGAGACAGCCAAAGAUAUACUUGACUCUCUGAAGAAUGACUCAUGAAGGAAACUCCCAAGUCAAAGAGACGAAGGCUCUGGCGCUUAUCCAGAAAUAUGAAGCCUUCAAGAUGGAAGAUGACGAAGCUAUAGAGGCUAUGUUUUCUAGAUUCCAAACUCUUAUUGCAGGUCUCAAGGUGCUAGACAAAGGAUACACAACUGCAAGAUUCAAUUGUUAGAAAGAUAGUCAGAAGUCUGCCAAAGAAAUGGAGACCUAUGGUUACUGCUCUGAAGCUGUCAAAGGAUCUGAACAAUAUCAGCCUUGAAGAACUUGUCAGUUCUCUCAGAAGCCAUGAGAUAGAACUAGAGGAAGAUGAGCCUCAGAAAAGGAACAAGUCCGUAGCGCUAAAGUCCAGAUCUGAAAGACGGAAAUAUGACAGAACCAAAGCUCUCCAGGCAGAAACUGAAGACACUGACGACUCUGAACCAGAAGACUCUGAUGAUGAAGAAGAGUUGUCCCUACUAACCAGAAGAGUUAAGCAACUCUGGAAAAAGAGGAAAAAUAACUUCAGAAGACCAAACCCAGAGGGGAUCGAUCUGAAUCAACUUCAAAGGUAAAUCUAACAAAGAUAUUACCUGUUAUGAAUGUAAAGAAACAGGUCAUUACAGAAUAUGAAUGCCCCAAGCUAAAGAAAGACAACCCUAGAAAAGAAAGCUUCAAAGAAGAAUACCUUCAGGACAAAGAAAGGACUGAUGCUACCUGGGAUGACAGUGAAUCUGGAUCAUCAGAAUCUGACUCUGAUGAACAGGCCAAUGUGGCAUUAUGGCUACCACAUCCAGGAGUAGCUCAGAUGAAGAAUCUGAAGAGGUAUUUUCUGAACUUUCCCGAUCUGAUCUAGAAUCUUGUUUGUCAGAAACUCUUAGCUCAUAUCAGAAAUUAAAACAAAAGUUUAAAAAACAUUAAAGGCUGUCUUAAAGCAAAAUUUGAAAGAUGUGGCGAGCUUGAGAUGACAAUUCUAGCACAAGAAGAUACAAUUAAAUUGUUAACAUUAGAAAAGAGAUGGAGCAAAAGAAAAAGCUUAGAAUUAGAAGAAGCGUUAUCUCAAACUCCACAAACUUCAAAUGCAUAAUUUAUAAAUACGAAGAAGCCUUUCAAGUUUUUGAAAAAUGGGAUAGAUAGGAGUAUUAUGGCAUCCAUGAUUAUGGAGUUAGUCAGAAACAAUAAAAAGGGAAUUGGGUAUGAUUCUAAGGAAGAUAAAACUUCUAACCAGUAACCAACUUAAGUCUCCCUUUUCAUAUCAUUACACACACACACAAGAACAAAAUUUAAAAAUGCUAGAAAACCCAAAGUUAUAAGAAACUCUGGGAAAACUAAUCUGAAAGGACCCAAGAGAUUCUGGGUACCAAAAGAUAAGAUUGUGUAUGUUGCGAUAUCCUAUGCAGCAAAGUUCAGACACCAGUCAGGUACCUGGACUCUGGAUGCUCGCGACACAUGACGGGAAGAAAGUCUAUGUUUCCAAAGUCUGGAACUAUAAAGGAUGCUGGAUUUGUAGGCUUCGGAGGAGAUCAGAAAGGAAGGAUCAGGCUCCGGAACUAUUGGUAAUGGUACUCUUCCCUCUAUAUUGAUGUUCUUUAUGUAGAAGGAUUAUGCAUAACUUGUUAUCCAUAAGUCAAUUAAGUGAUAACGGUUAUGAUGUAAUCUUCAUCAAAAAAUGUAAAGCCAUUAAUCGAACGAUGGGCUCUGUCCUUUUCACAGGCAAGAGGAAAAACAACAUUUACAAAAUAAUCUUUCUGAUUUAAAAGAUCAAAAAUGUUAAUGUCUAAUGUCAAGUUCACGAAAGAGCAAUGGGUAGGCAAUAGACGCUUGGGCCACAUUAGCAUGAGGAAACAAUCUGAUAUCCUGGGCUAGAAAGACAAUCAACAAUGCUCUAUCAACUGCAGAAGCAGAAUAUAUCUCAGCGUCACUGUGCACAACUCAGAUGCUCUGGAUGAAAGCAUCAGUUAAGAAGAUCUGCAAAUCUUUGAGAGUAACAUUCUAUCUUUGUGAUAAUACUGCGCCUAUUUGUUAAGUAAGAAUCCCAUUCUACAUUCCAGAGCCAAACACAUUGAAAUAAAACAUCAUUUAUCAGAGACUAUGUUCAGAAAGGGAUAGUAACUGAAGUUCAUUGAUACUGAACAUCAGUGGGCAGAUAUCUUACUAAGCCUUAGCUGAGAUAGAUUUCUUUUUAUCUUAGAACAUCUGACAUUAAAAUUGCCCUGAGUGAAGCAUGGCUCUGAAAUGUAAAUGAGACUCUGAUAAACAAAUACACUUCUGCCUCUGACUCUGAUACUUCUACCAGUUAAGAAGAUAUCUGAGUUAGAAAUCUCCAGGAAUCAAUCUUUUGUAUUCCUGAAGAUCAGAUACAUCAACACGUGGAGCACUAAGCGUCUACCCUAGAACUUCUAGACAUCUGUCAAAAGAAAUUUCAAAGUCAGAACGUUUGAACUCCUUGAGCAGUGUGUACUGUGGGAAUUAGACAUUCAUUAAUAGCUGUAAUCAUUUUUCCCCCCAAAAGCGUGCUUACUUGAGCGUUGUGCUAACGCAAUUUAAUGUGUCGUUUUGCAUGUUCUUUACUUAGAGUAAUAUAAACACUUUUUCUCAACUUUCACACACUUAUCACUCUCACUCACUCAAAACCCUAAACCUCUCCAAGCAUUCUCCUGAAAGCUCUUCAUCUUCAUCAAUCUUCUUCUCCUUCACCAUGGACGCUCAAACAACAACAAUCUUUUAACUUCUACUCAAGAAAUGGAAUCAAGCUCUACUGCUCAAAACCUCAAGCAUUCCACACCAAAACGGUUACAGGCGUCACCAUCACCCCUGUUACAAAGAACUCUCAUGUUUCUUGACCGUGAACGCCAUUCAACCUUUCAACCCUUUUGAAGGAUUGGACGUGUUGUGUGAUCGCUAGUUGAUUUCGACAACUUAAAGAGAAAUGGCGUUGAUCUUACUGAAGAGCUUCGUAACAAGGAUGGGAAACUCUUCCAAAGGCUUUAUGGUCAUGUUUACCCUUCUCAUCAAGGAGUUCUGAAGAUUUGCAGAUGCAGAUGACCACUUCAUCGUAUCCUAUGUUUUGGGGGUGAAGAUUGUUAUUACUGAAAGGUCAAUUGCAUCCCAUGUUGAACAUGGAAAUAAGUGGAGGAAAAAGGAUUUACAAACAUCCCUCCUAGGUCAAGCGUAUUACUGAUGUAAUCAACCCAACAAUCUUCAAACCCAACACUGAAGGAAAUCCUUUCAAAGAACAAAGAGCUGCACCAGACCUCAAGAGUGUGGCUGAAGAUUAUUCUGGGAACCAUUCACCACGACCAGCCUCUAACUCCUCUGACUACAUCAAUGCAGACCAAAAUGCAUUCUGUAUUAUUAUCAGAAGGGAGUUGAAGAUUUGCUUCCUGCGCUUCUAUUCAGAUAACUGAGAGAUUCUGUCAGAGAACCAGAAACAAUAUGAAGCCCGAGAUCCUACAUCCCUCGGGAAGAUUGUUAUCUGAUGUCUUCAUUGAGAAUGGGUGGUGGAUCAUCUGGAGAAGGCCAAGCUGAUGGCUAGAUCUGGCAAUAGAUGUUGGGAAGCCUCUGAAUGCCAGAAAUCUCAAGAGUAUGGGAAUAAUUAAGAAGAUUUCAAGUCAACCCACUCUGGACACAUCCUGGGAAAUUGUUUGAAAGAUCAGAGGAAGAUCCUCAUGGCUUGCCAGUUCUUCAAGAACGACUGGGGCGGACAAGAAUACGAUGCGAAGUACAAAAUAAUGGAUAUGUGAGAUUAGAUGGAAUGGAAGAUCGACCUCGUGUUAGAAUCACGGCGAGGGGAGGACGGCCGGAGUCGAGAAGAAAUGGUGAUAGAUAAGAGAGGCAAAGGUGGAUUACAUGUGGAGACAGAGGAGAGGUAGGCAUCGCGAUCAAUAGUGGGCGGGCAACAAGCAUGGUGCGGCGCCGCGGGGCAAGAAAGGGGAGAGUGAUUAUUAGAAAUAAAGAUCCGAAUCCCAGAGUAUCGGUUGCCAUCUAUCUUAAUACGGCUGCUGGAUGAAGGUGUUGACAUCCUCUGACUUCACCCUCGACGAUUGUCUAGAUUCAGAAGAAGACUCGUCAGAUACAAGAGAGGCCUCUGAGAAGAAGAUAGCACCUCCGGCAAGAAGGCAAGAAUUGGAGAAGCUUCUGGAAGCAGAUCUUCAGCUCCUCUGAAAUAUAUCUGUACUGGUACGUCUGUUCCUUCUGUUUACCACUAAAUCCUCUGAUGGCUUCUUCUACCCUUCUCUUCACAACCUAUUUUACUACCCAUCUGAAAUCCCACCUUCAAAACCACCAGAACCUCCCACCUUCAACCAGUUCUAAAUGUAUGCCCGUACAUUCAAUAACCUCCCUCUGAACCUAACAAACCCACCCAAAGCACUUCCUCUUCAUCAUCCUCAGAACCAGGAAUCACCCCCAUAUGUUUCUAUCUCUUCUGACUCAGAAUAUCUGAACCCUGAUUCCCAAGCCAAUAGCCCCACAAUUUAAAUGCUCAUAAACCUUGCUUCACAACAACAAACACAAACACAAAUCUGAAGCAACUUCACCUCCACACCAACAAACAACACCAUACCCUUCUGUAAACUCAAACCCUCUGACCCCCACAACUCUGAUAUCACCCCACCAAAAUCUCGCUGCCACCAGAAACCAGAAACUGAACCUUUAGACUUAUAACCCUCUUUACGCUUCACCCCAAAGAUCUGAACCUCAACAGAUGCAGAAUCUGAACCCAAACUGAAUCAGAAAUCUGAACCUCAAACAUUAAAUCUCAGCCCCUGCCAAACUCUCCACCUCAUACCUCUGAACCUGAACAUGAACCUGAACUUUCUACAACCUACCCUGAGGAACCAUCAUGCAGGUGUAAGAAGCUUCAGUACAAAAGGUCAAGUUCCUGACCACUAACUAUGAAAUCAGUGAUGAUCCUAAUCUGUAAGGACAACACACUGGAACAAGACAUUGGCUGGAUGACCCUGAUCUUUUAGACUGAAGAGCAUAUCUGAACAAGUCAGAAAUGGCUAAAAUCAGAGAUGCUGAGGCAAGACUCCCAGGAAGACUUGCCAAAAGAGAAGCUGAAGCAGAAGGCUGGAGGAAAGAGAGAUUGGCCAAGGAAGCUGAGAAGAAGCAAGAAGACUAGAAGAAGAAGAAAAAGCUCGUCAGCUGAAAUCCGAAGGGAAAGGAAGCUGAAAGCUAAGGCUCUGGCGGAUGCCAGAAGCACAAGCUGCUGCUGAGCUGAAGCUCAGCAAGGCUUCUGACCUCCUGGGGGAGUCCUCUUCUGUGAUCCCUAUGGUUCCUUCAACUCUGAAAGAACUUAGCAAAUCAGAAAUGAACUCCGGGCCAGAAUGACAAGGCAAGAUACGUCAACGACAACAUCCAAGAACAUCCUUGCAAUGCUGCCUUCAAGAGAAAUGCCCAGCCUCCGACCCCUAUGCACUUAGGAUUUUUCAUUUAUUUUGCUUGCCUGUUGUUUUUUUUUUUUGCCUUCUCUGGAGUCUGAUGUUUUCUUAUUUCUUGUGCCUUGUGCUCUAUUUUAAUACAAUGUUUUUUUCUCUUCCAAUUAUUUUUUUUACUAUGUCUUUUUUGGAUUCUGACAAAAAGGGGGAGAAGUCAUUAAAUAGCUCUGAUGAAAAUAUUGUCGUAAUACUUAAGCAUUUCUCAACAUAUUAUUUCUUAAAAAUAAAAUUUUAUCUUAACACUGGACUUAAGAAAAUUGCAGAAGAUAUCAAGAACCUCUUUACUUAAAAACUCUGGUAAGAAAACUUCUGUGAACUCCCUAGCACUUAUCUCAGGGGGAGCUUCUGUUAUCUGAUCUAAUAUUAUCAUGGUUUCUCUGCUAAUUAAAGUUGUUUGUCAUCAUCAAAAAAGGGGAGAUUGAGAAACAAAAGACUGUUUCUACAACAGAUUUACCUGAUUUGAUGAAUAACAACGGGAUGAACGCAAAAUGGCACCCUAACGAAAGUUUCUAAGUGUGGCAGGAUUCUAAGAAAGAAGGAAAGAAAUCUGAAGAUAGUCCAUCAGAUAUGCAAAGACCAGAUCAGAUACAAACUAUCAAAAUGAUCAAGAAAGCACUGAAAGUGAAAACAAAGUUCAAGAAAAGUCUAAACUCUGAAGUAAAACAACAAGUAUCAGAUGCAAUCUGAAACAAGAAGUAAGCUCUAGAAGUUCUGACUCUGAAAACAAUACUCAUCUCUAGAUUCCCAGAAGUUUCAGCGCUAUUGAAAGAAACUAUCUGAACCUCAACAUAACAGAAACAGAUUCGAAAGAUUCCCCAGAACACAAAUACUCUGAGCAUGGGAUGCUAAUCAUGAAAGAGUAGUUAAAAGGUCAGUAAAGAUUUGCAAUGGUUUUCCUAAUUAAGAAAGAGAACGUUAAUCUCCGUUUUCAAUAAAGAAGAAACUAACUUGUGGUAAGUAGUCAUUUCAAAGGAGAGAAAGUUAUCCUGCAAGAGCCUAUUUAAGUGAUGGCGUAAAUUCCAUUUAAUAAUCCACACAGUUCAUUUACUACCUCACUUCUAUAUAAAAAGGACUGCCAAAUUCAACAUUCAGCAAUAUACAAGUAUAGCAAACAAGGCCCAAAAAUUAUACUGAAACAUCAACACUCCAGAAAAACACUCUUGCCUCAUAAGAUCUUCCACGAAGCUUUUGCUUAUUAACGUGAAAAACUCUUGUUCUUACUAUUGUAAUGAUCUGCUUUCUUAGAAAAGCCAUUCUAGUUACAUUAAUCUUCAUUUAAUUUGUUUGUUGAUUUCCUCAAGUGACUGCUGUGUAGUCUGUAUACUUGAGAGGACUAAGAGAUUUUUCUCUUAGACGUUGUUUGUAAUCUUUCAAGAUUAGUGGAUUAAGUCCUUGUUGAAGGCGAAAUCACCUUGGCCGGGUGGACUGGAGUAACUUUGUAUUAUAAGCGAACCAGUAUAAAAUCAUUGUGUGGUUUUCAUUUUGAAAAAGCGCUUAUUUUUCCAAACAAUUCAAACCCCCCCUUUCUUGUUUUUCUCACCUUCAAGCAGGACCUAGUUUUAAGACUUUUUAAUUAUGUUAUAAGGAUGCUGAAUUGUGUCAUAGCUCAUACUGCAACUGCGAUCAGAACAGGCAUAUGCGGUAUUCAGUGUUCUACUUUUUGAUAGGAACUGAAAAUCUCUUAAUAGUAUUUAUCCAACAGUAGGGGAUCUUAGUUCAUUACAAGAAAACAUACCAUUCAAUAGGUAGCACUAAAGAAAAAGAAAAUAAUGGAAAAUAUAAAGAAUGAAUGACAUUACAAAAACUCUGAAAUAAAAUUCUACUCACUGAACACUGUGGGAGACGAAAAAAGGAUUUUAUUUAUUUUAUUUUAUUUUAGCUGGCUCAACAUUCAGUCCUCGAUUUAGUAAAAAAAAGAAAAUAUAUAUAUAUACUCUACUGCAAUGCAAUUUAAACCUCGUUGCCUAUUGUAUUCUACGAAUUAGAAUAUGAGGAAAGAUACCUAAAAAGGGAAUGAAACAAGAUUUUAACCAAUCCUGGGUGGAAUAUAUUGCAUGUCAUUGACCUAAAUUAACAAUUAUGGAAUAUUACUGAAUUUGUAAGAUCCUAUGCAUAAAGUUAGAUACAAUAGAAACAGAACCAAGUCCUCCAUGGAACAAUCACAAUUUGAAACAAUCAUUCAUGAACCCAGACCAAGACAUUAACAUUACACACAAAGUGCUAAACUGUAAGGAUAUUAUGGAUCUUAUUUAAGAGGCUGGUUUAAGGAAGACUGUGACUCGGUUUUCAAAGUGCUAUGAGAAGUUGGUAAAGGAAUUUAUUGUUAAUUUGUCUGAAGAAUGUGCUGAUGGCAAGUCUAUGGAAUUCAGGAAAGUGUAUGUGAGAGGCAAGUGUGUAAAUUUCUCUCCUUCAGUGAUCAACAAGUAUUUGGGAAGGCCUGAUGAAGCUCAACCUGAGCUUGAGGUGACUGACAACAAAAUCUGUCAAACAAGUAUUUGGGAAGGCCUGAUGAAGCUCAACCUGAGCUUGAGGUGACUGACAACAAAAUCUGUCAAGUCAUCACUGCUAAUCAGGUAAGGAAGUGGCCUCUCAAAGGAAAAUUGGUGGCAAGUAAAAUGAGUGUCAAGUAUGCAAUGUUGCACAAGAUUGGAGCUGCUAACUGGGUGUCUACCAAUCAAAAAUCUACAGUUGCUGUAAUGCUUAGAAAGUUUAUAUAUGUUGUUGGAACCAAAGCCAAAUUUGACUAUGGCUCCUAUAUUUUUGAUCAAACUUUGAAGCAUGCAGGAAGCUUCAGUGUGAAGGUUCCUAUAGCCUUUCCUUCUCUCAUCUAUGGUAUUGUUUUGAAUAAGUUUCCAAACAUCUUAACUGAGAAUGAUUAUGUGAAGAAAAGAGACAGCCCUAUGUCUUUCAAUCAUAAGUUGUUCCUAGGUACCCAUGUCCCUGACAUUGUCAUGACAUCAGGUGAGACAUCACGUGUAAGCAAUCAGCCAGGUAAAGCUGUUGUCAUUGCAAUGCUCAAAGAAACCUGCAAGGAAUUAGAGGCAAGGAAGCUGAACUUGGAAAAAUUGAUUAGCUCUUUGGAGAUGACUGAAGGUGAUGUGCUAGCUGAUGGUGGAGAAUUUGGUGAAGUUGCUGUUGUUGCAGAAGAAGCUGAAAGACAAGGUGAAGAGGGAGAAGCAGAUGCCAGUCCUGAUGAUGGUACAUAUGAUGAUGCUGACUCUGAGUCAAAUUACUAGAACAUUUCUUGUGAUUGCUUGUAUUUUUAUUUUUUUUGGUCUGUAAUAUUAAGUGUUGCUUUGGCAACAUUUUUGACAAGAAGGGGGAGUAACACUUGUACCCCAGGACAACAUAUUUCUUUGAAGUUGAAGGUCCUCUAAAUAAGAGGUUAUGUUGCUGUUUGCUCUCUGCUUGAUCUUCUCUUGUGCUACUGCUGUUUGAAGUUUAACUUCUAUGUUUGCUAAGUGUAUUAGCUAAUUUGAUUCUCUGCUUGGAUGUGUGCUUUCUGCUGCUGUGAACUCUGUUGUGAUGCCAAGUUGUUUUAGCCAAAAAUUUGCCAAAGGGGAGUUUGUAGAUGUUUUUGGUUGGCUCAUUUAUUGUAAAAACUUACUGUACUUAGAUGGACUUGACUGAUGUCAUGACAUGCUUAAGUAGUAUGUCUGCAAGGAUUAGCUAAUACGGAUUACUGGAUGUCAAACUGAAUGUUAUGACAUUCAUUCAUGACAGCAUUUCUGGAUGUCAAACUGAAUGUUAUGACAUUCAUCCCUGACAGCAGAUGCUAAAGUAUAGGCUGAUUUUUCUGUUAUGUUUCAGUAUUUAUCCUCAGGCUGAUUUUUUCAAGGAAACUAACAGCGUGUGCUAAAUAAGAGACCUAGCAUAUAGCCUAUUUGUUAGCACCCUAAUGUGUGGAAAUUAGGUUUAACUGGCUUAACCCUAAUUUUAUGAAAUUCAAGUUCAAGGCCCAAGUACUGCAUUAUAAAAAGGAUGACAUACCUAUUUUCAGCAGUUGAGUGAUUUGAAGCGUGAAGAUUCAAUAUAUCAUUAUAUUCAUUUUGCAUUGCACUUUCAGUUGUGUCUUGAAUUAGGUUUUACCUGUGAGCCAAGCAAUUAUCACCUAGAUGAUUGCAUUGGACUAGGGUGUUUAUUGAGUUGUAAUUGUUGUGUCACUCUAAGCUUUUAAGCGUGAGUGCUGUGUUUCUUGAUUAAAGCUUUUAAGCAUAAUCAAGAGUUGUUUGAAGUAUAUCUUCACCAUUGACUUUAAAUUCUUAAUGGUUGUAAUCACUGCUGUGAUUGAGGGGGAGUGAGUAGGUACUCAGGUCUAAUUUAGAUGUGAAAUUGCAUUGGGUAGGUCUUAAGUGAUAGGAUUAAACUGGUGGUUUAAGUCUUGAAUUAAUACCUCUUAUAGUGGAUUUCCUCCCUGGCUUGGUAGCCCCCAGAGUAGGUGUGUUUGUCACCGAACUGGGUAAACAAUUCUCUGUGUCAUUUACUGCUUUUUACAUUUACUUUCUGCAUAUAUUACCUGUCUGUGCAAAAUUGGAUGUCAUAACAUCCUGUGUGACAUCGAUAGUCUGUUACUAGAAUUUUACGGAGUCCCAACCUCAUCCUCAACAUCUAUGUAGGAAAAGGAAGAUAUAUGGCUUACCAAGAGAGCCUUCUCUCCCCCUAUCACCACCAACUUCUUAUUCUUAACAAAUUUUAACUUCUGGUGUAGGGUGGAUGUCACGGCGCCUGCCUCGUGAAUCCAUGGUCUGCCCAACAAACAACUAUAUGAUGGGUGGAUAUCCAUGACCUGAAAAGUGAUAUGGAAAUCACUAGGUCCUAUCUUGAUUAGGAGUUCAACCUCACCAAUCACAGUCUUGCGCAAUCCAUCAAAAGCUUUCACGACCACUCCACUCUGCCUCAAGGGAGGCCCCUGGUAUGAAAGUUUGGCGAGAGUGGAUUUUGGCAACACAUUCAAUGAUGAUCUAGUGUCUACCAGCACAUUAGACAUGACAUCAUGCUUGCAGUUCAUGGAGAUGUAAAGUGCCAAAUUGUGGUCUCUUCCCUCCUCGGGGAGAUCAACAUCACAAAAAAUCAAAUUGUUACAAGAAGUAAUGUUUGGAACAAUGCUAUCAAAUUGUUCUAUAGUGACAUCAUGAUCUACGUACACCACGUCCAACACCUUAUGUAAAGCUUCUCGGUGUGGCUCAGAGUUCAUCAACAAAGACAACACAAAUAUCUCUGAAGGCGUUUGUAGAAGCUGAUUUACAACAUUGUACUCACUCCUCUUGAUGAGCCUCAACAUCUCAUCACAGUCCUCUUUCAUCAUGCCAUUCUGGCCAGCAGGGAAAGGAGUUUUAGCAGCAGCGACAGGUCUAUUAACAGCAAGUGCCAGAUUCGGAGAAUUAGAAGAAUUCCCCAAAGGACGAACAACACUAUCAGCAGUAUUAACUCUUCUGGUGUCAGCCUGGGGUUUCGGAGGCGCCGAGAAAACACGACCAAUACGGGUUAGACCACUGACAUCAGCAAUAUUCACAAUAGAAGUGGAGGGUAGGGGCACCUCCUUCCCAUCUUUUAAUGCCACUGCAUUAUAACGAUAGGGAACAGCUUUGUCGGAAGAGUAGGGCACAGGGCCGACUGGCUUAAUUAUGAGAGUAGGAGAAACCUUUUGCUUGCUGCCAUCAUAUCAGACGACAACAGGCUCAGGGAUCCUGAAUAUAGGUGAUAUCACAUUAACUUCAUCAUCCUCAUCACGAUUCUGAAGUAUCUCUAUCACACCCUGAUCCAGCAUUUCUUGGAUGUCUUUUCUAACUUGACGACAUCCUCUCUCAUUGACAGUGCAAACAACAUCCUCAUCACGAUUCUGAAGUAUCUCUAUCACACCCUGAUCCAGCAUUUCUUGGAUGUCUUUUCUAACUUGACGACAUCCUCUCUCAUUGACAGUGCAAACACGACAACUGUCGUGGUCAUGCUCAUAGUGACUGUAUCCGCAUAAUAGUCUGUGCAUCUCGACCAAAGAUUGUCUGAUAUAACUAACAUAUCGGACCUUGUAUUUGCCAGGGCAACCCUGAACCAUAUUGAUAGCAGACUUCCCAUACUCGGGCAAUGGGUUCUUCUUGACAUUAGGACCUACGUCCUCGAAAAACAAUAUACCGCUUCUCACAAGGUCUUGAACCUUGAUCUUCGACGGGUAGCAAUUCUCCACAUCAUGUCCGGGAGCACCGAAAUGAUAAACACAAUGAAGCUCAGGCUUAUACCACCAUUGAGGGUCGAUAGGUAUAGUAGGUGGGUCACGUGGAGUGAUCAGCUUCCUUUCAAUUAAAGAAGGAUAUAGCUCUGUGUAGGUCAUUGGAAUAGGAUCAAAACUGACCCUCUUCCUAUCAUAGCUUGUACUGGUCUGAUUGUUGUUUCGAGGCUGGUAGGCCUGCUGUUAAGGACGAUGUUGUUGUUGUUGAUACUGUUGAUGUUGUUGUUACUGGUUCUGAUUAUGAUGUUGAUAUUGCUGAUCUUCUCUGAAGACAGGUGCUAUAUGAGCCACCUGGUGCUGGUUACUGGCUGGACGCACAGUCUUCCUUUUCAUAGAGGGUCUUCUAGAUUUGACAUGGGAGGUCACAACAUGUGCCUCACCAUCUUUCUUCUUCGCAAAUGCCCCAUAACGUUUGGCAAAAGAGCCUUCUUCUCUAGUCAGGCGCCCUUCCCUGACUUCUUCUUCUAGACACAUCCCCAUGUUCACCAUCUCGGUGAAGUCAGAAGGAGCGCUAGCAAUCAUCCGCUCAUAAUAGAAUGAACUCAAGGUCUUCAGAAAGAUCUUGGUCAUUUCCUUCUCUUCUAGCGGAGGCACAAUCUGUGCAGCCAAGCGCUAGCAAUCAUCCGCUCAUAAUAGAAUGAACUCAAGGUCUUCAGAAAGAUCUUGGUCAUUUCCUUCUCUUCUAGCGGAGGCACAAUCUGUGCAGCCAAUUCUCGCCACCUCUGGGCGUACUCCUGAAACGUUUCUUUCUCCUUCUGGGACAUGGCCCUCAGUUGGUCCCUAUCAGGAGCCAUAUCAAUGUUGUACUUGUAUUGGUUGACGAAGGCUUUGCCAAGGUCGUUGAAGGAGCGGAUGUUCGCGCUGUCGAAACCCAUGUACCAUCUCAAUGCGGCACCAGACAAGCUAUCCUGGAAGUAGUGGAUCAGGAGUUGAUCAUUGUCGGUCUAAGUCGACAUCUUGCGUGCAUAUAUCACAAGAAACUCUAUCAAUGCAUCCUUAUCUCUAAGCUGCUGAAGUAGAUCCUCUCGCUCACGGACCCAAGCAUGCGAACGGUCUUCAUCUCUCAACUCCUCAACUCCUUGGUUAGGGAGGGUUGAAGGCCCAGCCAUAACCAUAAGUGUAGGUCUCGGAUAGUCAUAGGGCAUGCGGUACUCAGAAGCUCUCCUCCUCACCCAUGAGGUAUAGGGUUCCAAAGCAAUACAGUUCUUCGGACCAAGCUCUUUCCUUCCCUUCCUAUGAAUCUUGCACCAAGCGCGAACCAUCCUGCCCUUCAAGUUUUAGGGAUCUUUACCCUCUUGAAAGAACACACCUUCUAACAAAAUGUUAUUAGGUUUAUCCUUUAAGGGGAACCCAAGCUGACGACGUGCCAAAAUAGGGUUGUAGUUAAUCCCACCACAUGUACCAAGAAGAGGCACAUUGGAGAAUUCACCACAAGAGUCAAUAAUUUGCACACCAUCAUAUACACGGUUAUACCAAAAGAUAUCAUCAUUAGUGAGAGACAUAAGUCUCGUGGACCACCGUAGACAUCCUUUGUUCUCCUUGAAGGCGAGCGUCCGUGGCAAGUGCGAAAUAAACGACUUGUACAACAUAGGCAAACAACACACAAUGGUACCACCACCUUUUGCAUUCUUCAUAUGCAAAGAGAAAUAAGUGUCACCCAACAGAGUUGGAACGGGAUUAAGAGUAGAGAAAAUCCUAAUAGCGUUCACAUCCAUAAAAUUGUCGAUGUUGGGGAAUAACACUAGCCCAUAGAUGAGAAGUACAAAUAUGGCCUCAAAAGCGUCCUCACUCAAGGCCUUCCCAAACAUAGUAGCUUGAGCAAUGAGGAAAUCAGAUGGGAGACCUUGAAUUCCACCUUUGGUAGUCAUAUGAGCACCAACAACAGAUUCAUCUAUAUGGAACAGAUCAGCAAUCUCUUGGGAAGAAGGAACUCUCUCCAAGCCACUGAACGACAACUGAUCUAGAAUAGGUAUAUCCACAAGGUAGGCAUACUCCUCAAGCAUAGGCUAAAGCUGGAAAUCCGGAAAUGUGUAGCAACGGUACAAGGGAUCAUAGAACUGUACCAACACAUUCAUCAGACCUUCAUCCACCUGAGUAGCAAGAAUAGACAGAAGCUUCCCAUGACGAGCCUUGAACUCCAAGGGAUCUAAUACAUAGGAUGUCAAACUCCUUAACUCUUUCAAGUCAGGUUGUCUGAAACUGUACUUCUUCGUAUUCCUUCUUUGCUUAUCCAUGUCUGAAAAUUUGCAAAUAGACCUCUUAAGUUCCUUGAAAAAUUUCUCACUAUGGAUGAUAUGGAUGUGUUAUGAAUGCAUGAAUGCAUGGAUGCAACAAUCACACUCAAGGAUCAAGCGAACCACAACACACGUGUAUGGGAUGGAUCAAGUCAUCCUUAAUAUCAAUCAUCCAUUUUGGUGGAUUAUGGUUUACACCUUAUCAACACCCAAGUUCCAUUGAUAUUAAGGAUACUAAGAACGGAUCAACCAUGAAUCAAGGUUUGUUGCAAGUCACGAGCAUGGAUCUCGGUUAAGAACCACCCAAAGGGAGUGUACUAUGGUUAAACCUGACAAUCAUGUUCUACACGAGAGUUCCCAUAGUCAUCAUCCCAUCUUUCAGAUAUUAGCGGAUAAACGACUACUCGUAUUCCAAAAAUAUUCUCAAGAGAGACUCUUAUGAGUGUAGUAUCGCGUAACAAUCGUAUCAAAUCUUACACUUGAACGACCUUUGCACUACGUUCUAAAAAUAUGCCAAGAUGGGCUUGGUAAACUAAGGUCCUUGGUUUCCAAGGCAUAUAUUGGAAAGAGUAAUGCCUAACCACGACUACUCGUGUGACAUUAUUGAUCCCAACAUAACCUCCACCAAGUGAAUGGGCAGGCAAGUCAACUUGCUAAGGAAUAACUCCACACAAGUCAACAAGACUAUGCCAUUCUCCUAUCAUAAGUGGACUCGAGUUCGGGUAUAGAACUCAUCUCACAAGAGACCACCAAGCACACAGGAAAUUAAUAUAUCAAGCAAUUCAUACAUUACAAACAAUACAGUAAUCCCAAAUUUGCACAAAAAUAUGUCACAAAAUAAUAUAAGAAUACAAUACAAGAAAGGUGAAAAGUAGGCAAAACCCACUAGGCAAAUACAUAUCCCCAGCAGAGUCGCCACUUUUCUGUAGCGGGGUAUUCGUUACCUUUAGAUUUAUUGACUAAAUCAAAAGUAAUAGUAUGUUAAGCUCAGCGGUGGCGUGAAGAUAAAUAGGUUUCCUUUCCAUAGAAAGCGAACAAAAACCGAGAAGUUUUAUCAAAUCAAAAAUUAAUAAAAAUGUCAGAGAUCUGGGUAAGGGGGUUAGUUAUGCAAUGGGAAGGUUUUAAGCACCCAAAACAUCCUUAGUACUUUAAGGGAGCCCUUUUCACCAAUGUUGUAAGGUAGGUUGGUAUUUGUGAAAAAUAUUUGUGCAAACAUGUUGGGGAGAUGAGAAAAGAAUGUACAAUUUAUUUACAAUUUUGUGUUUGAAUGGAUAAACCCAUUGCCUACGUACCAUCUUAAAAAAGAUUAGGAUAAAAACCUCGUAGUUCGGGGUAAAAAUAUCAAAGAUUGGUGAAUUGAUUUGAUCAAAAGCCUUAAGGUCUUUUGUUAUCAAAGGGAGAAAACUCAACCUAAACCAACAAUCCACCAUGUGAGGAGAGCUUUAACAUGCUAGUGAGGGGUUAACCCUAUAAUAAGCAUGGAAGAAAUAUAGUCCAUCACUAAGGAUACAGGUGAGUAUUAUAUCAACCUCUAGGAUAACUCAAACCUAAUAGCUAAUGUUUAUGAUUUUUUUGGCAAAAGUGGCCAUUGAAACCACAAAACAAUUGAGUGAGUUGUAUUUACAAAUGAAAAGUAUUUACAAAGUUAGGUCAAAGUUGACUUAAGGAUUCAAUUCAAAAUAAGUGUUAUGAAAAGAGUUUGGAAAAUCAAAAGCAUAGUGCUUAGGUUUCUAAUUUUUGAAAACAAUGUUAAUGUUUGCACAAAAGUUUGGCUAAAUAAGUGUUAUGAAAAGAGUUUGGAAAAUCAAAAGCAUAGUGCUUAGGUUUCUAAUUUUUGAAAACAAUGUUAAUGUUUGCACAAAAGUUUGGCUUGGGUUAGAGUGGAGGGAAGAAGAAGAAUGGAUAAGUCCUAAACAUACAAAGAUGAAGGAAGAGAAAUAAAACCACAUGGAGUUCCCUUUCUUGAGAUCAUAGUGAUGAUCCAAGUUACUCCCAUCCUUUGGAAUUAGCAAGCAAAUAACGAAUAACUCAAGCAAUCAAGCAAAUAACAAUCAAGCUCCUAGGAAUCUUCCAAUGGCUUUUGUAUCUCUCACUUUGGGUGCUCAUGACAAUGGUUCUUCUAAUUAGCUCAAGUUUGGGAUCCCUAUCACACAAGAACACACAAAUAAAAAAGUUUCACAAUACAAAUAAAGAAUGGACAAGAGUGAGUUUAGAAUUAGGCCUUUUCAAUGUUCAUCUUCAACAUUAAGCACUCUAAAGGCAUGAGGUCUAGUUGCUGUUUGACAUUUUUAGCACUCUAAAGGCAAUGAGGCUUAGUUGCUCUUCAAACUCCAUUAACAUAGGUAAGGUCCUAAAAUCUAAGUCCUUUUGUCCAUUUGCAUUGGAUUCACACAAACACAACAAAACAAGCACAAUAGUAUAUACACAAUAAUGUGCUCAAGUGAGCAAAAUGCAAAUUGCAUUAACAUAAACAUGAGCUCAAGUGAGCAAAGGGCAAAAGCAAAUGAAUUAAUGUUCAAGAAAUUAAAUUGCAUUAAAAUAAAUUGCAAGAAUUAAAGGCUUGAACUAAAAGUUAGUGUUAAUAGUUAAUGUUAGUGUGCCAUAAGGCAAUUUAGCGCUAUGUUAAGCAAUCGUAAGUGGACUAAUGUAGUAGUCACACCUAUCUGAGGCCGGUCAAUAAAACUAUGCGCAACAAACACAAGUUAGAGACCAUGACUAGUAAGCCAAGCUCCUACAACUUGCCAUGCCAAAAGAAAAGAAGAAUGAUCUUGUAUUGAUUUAGGUUUUUUCCUUGACCAAGAAGCAACCUAUCCUUAAUGCAAACUCAUUCACUUGAUCUUUGAUCAAGAUGAAUUAGAUUUGAAUCAAGGAAGGUUAAGCCUCUCAUAUGUCAAGGCUAACCACCAAUCUCUAACUCAUUGAUAAAAAAAAGAAAAAGAAGAAGAAGAAGAAGAAUAAGAAUGUACAUGAAUUGAAAUUCAAAUGAAAUAUCCAACACACAUUGAUCAAACAUGAAUAGAAUCAAAAUCAAUCAAUGGUAAACAGAAGCGAGAUGAAGCUUAGAAGUCAAGAAACAAAUAAAAUAUUUUUGGUAUUUUUGAGAAUUAAAAUAAUACUUGAAUUAAAAUAAACAAAUAAAGGUCAAACUUCAAAUCCAUUUCAAAUCAACUUGGAAAAAAGAAACAAAUAAAAUAUUUUUGGUAUUUUUGAGAAUUAAAAUAAUACUUGAAUUAAAAUAAACAAAUAAAGGUCAAACUUCAAAUCCAUUUCAAAUCAACUUGGAAAAGUCCAAAUGGAUCAUCCUAAGUUUAACAAAAAAUUUCAGCAUUUUUAGAAACCAGAAACUAUUUUUAAACAAUUAAAUAUGAAUAAAAAACAACAUAAUUGAACUAAAAUCUCAAAUAAAUCUCAAAUCAAUUAAGAAAUAGAUGAGAAUAUUUUCAUAGAUUCAUCAUCAUUCGAAGAUGUUAAGAAAAUAUUUUUGCAUUUUUUGAAUAUUGGAAACUAUUUUAAAUGAAUUAAAAAAAACUAGAAAAUAGAAAAUUCACAAAAAAUGUCAAAUGAAAAAAAAAAAUAUUAAAAAUCAUUUUUCAGAAACUAGAAUUAAAAAGGGAAAAAAUGCAAUUGGUCCCAUAUAUUUUGGAUUUAAAAUGAAAGAGUUAUGCAUUUUUGAAAUAAAAUGAAAUUAAGAAAAUAAAAUGAAUUAAAUCAGAAAAUGCAAAAAGCCUGGCGCGUUGGAUCAGAUUUCAUUAAAUGACGUGGAAGAUCUGAGGGCAAGGAAACGCGCACGCACCAUAGGCUUUGGUCAAAUGAGACACACACAACAUUAUUAAAAGUCAUAACAAUGGAAGGCAUAGAUCCAAUCUGGAAAUAUGAACCAACGGCCUAAAUGUAAUCUGGCAUGGUGGACGGUGGUGUACACCACCGUCUUCUCCGACGAGCAUGUUAGCUCCGGUGACAUUUGCAGGUCAUGAAAUCUCAACCAAAAUGGACGAAGGAGUAUAGUAACCUUUCGACCCCACUACAUGUAGUGGGGAGUGCCAUUGGUUUCUCCUCUAGACUCUCAUAGAAAGAGAAAUCAGAGAUAGAAAAUUAUGGAGUUCAAACUGAACUUGAUGGAUUCAUGAAAUUAAAUACACAAUUCAAUUGCCUUUUAUGAGAGGACUUCAGAGGAGCCAACAAACACAAGAAAUGAGCAAGAUCCAGUGAGAUUCGAAUUGAAAAAGUUUGAACAACAACCUUUGAAGUGCAUCUCUAUGAAGCACGAUCUCUUCCAACUCUUUGCUUCAGCUUGAUCUUAAGAUGGAAAUGAAGUGAGGCUAAGGAAUUAGAGUUCAAUAAUUAACCAAGGAAGUUGAAAAUUGAAACUGAAAAAUUGAAAGAGAAAUGCAAAAAUUCCUUUGAGUGAGGUGGGGAUUCAGUUCUGCAGCAUGUAAGGCGCCUUAAGGUUUAUCAUGAAUGAAGUUGAGCACUUGAAUUUAUAGCCAAGGUGAUGUAAGCAAGGUGAAAUUCAUGUGUGCAUGAAAUGAGAGCCUUCAUGCAUGGGCCUGUACAGGCGCAGGGGAGGCCCAAACUCAAUUGCAAAUGCAAGCUAAUCAUCAGCAAAAUGAAUUUGGACGUGCAGUUCUGAUGGAAAUGGCUUGUGUACAAAGUUCUCACAUAGUUUCCAUAAAUGCACAUAAAUAUUUACCUCUUAGAAAAUACCUCUUACCAAAAUGAAACAUGGCCUUGUGGAUAAUGGUUGGAAAGGUCUUGACAUGAGGAACAAUUGUUAUGUUGAACAAAAAUCCAUUUGGAGUUGGGAAAUUAAUGAAAACAGGCCAUAAAGUUCAAGGUGCAAAACAUGUAUAUGGAAAUUUAGCCAAAAUGGACCAACUUCAAGCCCUUCUGUUUCAAUGAUGCAAGCCUCAAAUGACAAAACCUUCAACAUCAAAGUUGUAGAUCUUUUCAAGACAAUCAAUUUGGACUUAAAUUUUGCAUCAUUCGGAUUUUUGAUGAGAAAGUUAUGGGCACUUGAAGUUAGACUUUUUCACAUUUUAAUGACUUUGGUCCAAAGUGACCUAUAAUGUUUUGCAUUAUCACAUGUACUUCGUUUAGGAUUAUGAAAAUUUGUCCAACAUAAAAAUUGAAGUAGACAUCUUAAAAUCAAUAAUGACCUAUAAUGUUUUGAAAUGGAUGAUGACCUUCCAAGCUUCAAAUCAAUUUUUAAUGAACAUGAAAGUUGUUCAUAUGGUUCUUAAGAACAUUUUUUCUCUUGGGGUCAUCUUCAUUUGACAAACACAUCAAAAGUUAGGUCUCAGUGGAUUUCAAAAUAGUCAGAUGAGUUGACUGAUCAACUUCUCAAGUUCAAACUUCAAAUCUUGAUGAAUUGAUGAUUGAGGACACUCACAUAGGCACAUAUAUGCAUGAAAUGAUUAAUGAAAGAACUUCCCUUGAUUGUAUUUGAUCAUGGGUUAAGGUUGCUUCAUGAGCAAGGGACAGUUGAUGCAUAGUUGAAUUAGGGUUUCCUUGGGAAACAAUCCUCCAGCCCUUUGGUUUAUCUUGAUCAAAUUGACAAAUUGAGAUACUUGGAAGGCAUAUAUGAUGAUUGAGAUCUUUGUGAACCAUUUUUAUGCUUGCUUUUAACUUCAUCUGGCCAUUCUUUGAGCAUAGGGGCCUCAUAGGAGCCUUGGAUCACAUGCUUUCUUGAGCUACAAGACAAAAGAUGUUAGUGACAUAUUUUUGCGCUUUUGGUUAGUAAACAAAAUGAGAAAAGCAAUAAUAUACAAUUCAAGCAUGCUUGGUGGUCUCAAACCAACUAACACAAGUCCCACCCUAGGGUUAAGGAGCCAAGAUGCUAUGAUCCUUGAGGCAAAUGCAAUGUGCAAUGAUAAGAUGCCAUGAGGGAUCUUAGGGUCAAAAUUAGGGUCUUACAGUUGUGAGACAGGGGGUAAUUAAAAAAGGAAAAAUACAUCUGAAAGAUGUAAAACCUCAUAGGGCCCUUAUAGUAUGAAAGUUAUGGAGAGAACUAACACAUUCAUCCACAACUUUGAUGUGUACACCACCAGUGAAGUAUAAACCAAAGAGAGGAGUUAAGAAGAGUAGAAAGGAUGUAGAGAGUGAUGUGCAUCAUGAUCCUUCAUAGUGGGAGCCUGGUGAGGGCUCGCAGGGGAGUCAAACUACAAAGAGAUCAUGCAAGAAACUAACAGGAAUUCAACCUUCAAGUCUGCCAGGUCAAAGUUACCCAUCAAGUAUGUCAGGUCAAAGUCAACCGACAAUUGCAUCUUCGAGGCAUCUUUACUUGUCUCAAUUUCCUAGUUUCUUGCAUCCCUACAUUGAUGACAUUGUUGAUGUGGGUGACGAUGGAAAUUGUAAUUUUCGCAUUAUUGCAACUUUACUUGGAUGGGGCGAAAAGUCAUUGUCGUUGGUUCAGACGCAGUUAAAUACUCAAGUUCAUCAACACCCUAAAUUGUUUUCCAAUUUAUUUUGUGACACGGUCUCUGAAGUUAGAAAUGCCUUAAAACUAGAACACUUGGGUGUGCAAGGUCGAGAAAAAUGAAUGAUGAUUCCAGAUAGGGGUUACCCUAUUGCUAGUAGGUACAAUGUCAUAUUUGUCUCGCUAUCAAAGAGACUUAACAUUUCUUUUUUCCCCCUUACAUUGGCUCCCUCUAUGUAUACGUGCAACAUAAAAUUGAAACCUGAUAGUCUAUUACAACCAAUCACUGACCGUUGGAGACAGAAUUAUACUGAAGAUGCAAAAGCAUGGGAAUCAACAUAUACAUGCCGAAUUAGGCACUAGGAAGAUGAAGUUAGGAAAUCAUUUUAAGUAGUAUUGAAAUCUUGUACGUAGAACAACUUUUGUGGUAAAUAUGUAUCUAUUAUAUAUGAUAACUUUUUAAUCGAACCAUUUAUGGAGGUCAUUGCACCAAAAAAAUUGAAAUUUCAUGUUUUUGAGAAUUCUGGGAGUAUAUUGGAAAUUUGACAUAAUUUGAAAUUUCAGGUAUACCUGAAAUUCAAAAUUUUCGGGACUUUUAACCAUUUUAUGCAAAAGUCGUGAUUUCCAGUAUAACUCUUUUGGAAAAUUUGAAAUUUCCAAUAAAUGCUUUUCGGAAAUUUGAAAUUUCCGGUACCUAUCUUACAACAGCGGUAAAAACAUGUAAGUUCACAACAAAAAAAUAGUAUUCGCUUAAAGUUUCCGGUACGAAGCUGGAAAUUUCAAAAAUUCCAAAUUUUUUACAAGGAUAUCAUGGUCAUUUCUCUUUAGUUAGGGGGGUGGGGUCAGGUUUAAUUGGGGGGUGUCAAGUUAAAUUCUCUUUAGAGAGGAUGCCCGCUGAUUAUGAGUUGUAUGAGCAUUUACUAUGACAGUUCUUUUCGUGAAAGGUGGACCCAUGUAAAGUGAUUAUGUGUAUUUUUAUGCUUUCGUUAAAAUUAGAACGAAUCAUAAUUACUAUGUUAUUAUGAUUUUUUAUUUCUUAUGUGCAUUUAUGUAAAACUCAAAUGAAAAAGGUUAAAAUAACCUUACAUAUUGGGAACAAUAAUGACUAAACAUACAUAAGAAUCAUAACACACUAAAAAUUAAAAAAUAUUAAAUUUUUGGUGCACAAGAUGAAGCAGCUGAAGAUGGAAUAAGAGAGAGAAUAGAGAUAAUUUAAAUAACAAACUUCCACAACUUUUCAAAACAGUUACAGUAAAUGGUUACACAAUACUCUAUUGACAACUACACAUGUUUAUAUAUACAAACAAUAAUGCCACGCAGGCGAAAAUGCUAACCUACAUUAGCUAAGUUAUGCUUAACAAAACUAAUACUAAUAUUGAAUAUCUAUUAUUUCUAACAUUAUACCUUAUUUCAUAUUCAACUAAUCAAAAUUAACAACACAAAUUCCAUUCGUUAAGUGGAUAAAAUGAUGAGUCUUGAUCGCUUUUGUCAGAACAUCUGCAAGUUACUUCUGGGUGCUACAUCGUAUAACUUCUACCACUCCAUUGUAAACCUGACUUUUAAGAAAGUGAUACUUAGUAUCAAUAUGAUUUCUCCUCCCAUGCAACACUAGGUUCUUGGCAAGAUUGAUUGCAGACUUGUUAUCAAUCAUCAACUUCAGAGGCUUGUUUACCUUGAUCUUCAGAUCCUACAGUAAAUUCAGAACGCAAAUAGUUUGACAUGAAACCACAACACCUAUAAUGUAUUCAACAUCACAGGUUGAUAAAGCAAUAACGGGUUGCUUCUUGGAACACCAAGAAAUAUGACCUCCUAGAUACUUGAACAAAUAUCUAGAAAUACUUCUUCUUUCAACUCUAUCUCCACACCAAUCAGAGCCUGGGUAACACAUCAACUAUGAAUUAGCUUUUUCACCAGAAGGGAACAACACUCCAUACUACAUAGUCCCUUUAAUAUACCUCAGAAUCCUGACAACAACUUGGUAAUGAGACCACUUCGGGUUACUCAUGAACCUACUAACCAUUCCAACUGCAUAGCAAAUAUCUGCUCUGGUAUUACACAAAUACUUCAGAGAGACACCCAAAUGAUUGAAAUUUGUAGCAUAUACAUCAUCACCUUCAGGGUCAGAACCCAAUUUAUGAUUUGUUUCUGAAGGUGUGACAACGGCCUUACAAUCCAGCAACUCAAAUAUCUUCAGAAGCUCAAGUUCAUACUUCAACUGAUGCAAAAUGAUACCCUUCUCGAAGUACAAAAUCUACAUCCCUAGAAAGUAUAUCAUAUUUCCCAUAUCAAUCAUCUCAAACUCAUUCAUCACCACCUUCUUGAACUUCAUUAUCUCAUCUGAACAACUUCCUGUCAGCAAUAUGGCAUUAAUAUAUAGACACACCAAAAUCAUAUUUCCUUCAGAAGGAUACUGAACAUAAACGUCUUACUCCAUCUCAGACUUUCUGAAUCUUUGGAGCUUGAAAAAUGAAUUUAUUUUUAGAUUCCAAGCUCUAGGAGCUUGUUUCAGUCCAUACAACGCUUUAUGUAACAUGUACGCCAUCCCUUCCCGAUUCUUAAAUCCAGGAGGUUGUGACAUAUAUACCACUUCUUGCAAUGGACCGUUCAGAAAUGCAGAUUUCACAUUUAAAUGCAUCAGAGGCCAAUUCCUGUUAGCAGUUAUCAUAAUCACCAGUUUGAUUGUCUCAUGUCUUUCUCGGGAGAAAACACCUCAUAGUAGUCUAACCCGGUUUCUAUAGAAAAACUCUUUCCAAUGACCUUGCUUUGUAUUGGCCAAUUGAUCCAUUUGGCUUCAGUUUCACCUUGAAAAACCAUCUGACGCUGAUGGAUUUCUUGUCCUUUGGAAGCUCAGUAAACUCCCAAGUUUUGCUUCUUUCUAUAGCCUUAAGUUCUUCUUUCAUGGCCUUCACCCAUGCUUUCUUCUUGAGCACUUCUUCAACAUUAAAUGGUUCAGAUUCUACUAACAUGGAACACUGAAUGACUUCUCCCUCAAAGUCUAUUUCAGUAUCUUGUAUCAUGUCAAACUCUGCAAAUCUUAUUGGAAUGUUUCUGAUUCUUUGUGGCCUCUGAACUUGUUCAGAAUCUUCUUCGGGCGCUGGAACAGUCUCAUAGUUGGAACCCCAUAAGUACCACCUUCAGAGGCAUGACCACCUUUAGAGUGUGGAAUAUUUCUAGAGUAUGGAUUUCCACCAGAGUUAGAAUCUCCAUCAGGAUCAGAUUCACCUUUAGAGUCAGACUCGCCUUCCGAGUCACUAUCAGACUUUGAAUCACCUUUAGAGGCAGAAUCCCUUUCAGAAGCAGAUUCUCCUUAAGAGUUGCCUUUUGAUUAUGACUCAUCUUUAGAAGUUAACUCACCAGAGUUGGAUUGAAAUUUGUUUCAAUCCCACACUUAUGUUUUUUUCACAAUGACAUCUCCGUUGAACUCAACCUUGUUAAUGACAGGAAAGUAGAGCUUAUAAGCACAUGUAUUGUGGUACCCUAAAAGCAAUAUAACUUUGCUUCUGUCAUUCGACUUCACUCUCUUAGCAUCUAGAACAUGUUUGUAAUAAAUAGAAUCAAACACCUUCACAUGGAUCACACUUUGCUUAUCUCUAGUCUACAUCUCUAAUGGAACAAUUUCCUUCAGCUUUUUGGUUGGACACCUGUUGAGCACAUAUGUUGCAGUGGUAACAGCUUCUCCCCACAAGGUGUAAGGAAGUUUUUUCUCCUUCAGUAGACUCCUUGUUGUCGUACCCCAGUUUUGUCCAGGCAUUUUCAAAUUUUCGUAAAUUUGAUUUCAUUUUCAAUUUGCAUCAUAUGCAUAGCAUGACAUGCAUUUCAUUAUGAAUAAUACCUAAGAUAUCAGUCGGAAUAAAUUAUUGAAAAUACAGACAAAUUGGUUAAAUCAUUUCUUAAGAACGUGCAAAAUCAGCGGGUAAAAAAUUUCAAAAUUAAAAAUCGCAGAUGCCAAUAUUAUUAAUUUACGGUUCACGUAGUUUAACUUGGUGUGCUCGUUAUAUUUUUCAGUGACUUUUUCAGUUGCAUUUUGACCCGUCUGAGUCUUUCAACCAGUAAAAAUUUAUUUCAGAAUUUGAAGAAACGCUGUAUUUUUUCAAUAAGUAUAUUUCAUGCUGAUCAUUUUAGUGCAUCCGAUUUAAUUUUUCGAGCAAAUUUUCAUCCGACUUCUAUUUAUAAUCGGUCAUUUUAUUUCUUUGUUCAAGUAUCCAAAUUAGAGAUUGUUUUAUUAUUAUUAUUAUUACUAUUAUUAUUAUUAUUAUUAUUAUUAUUAUUUAAAUUGAAAUGGUAUUUAGAAAUUUUUAAUAAGCAUUUUUCUUUAAUAAUAGAUAAUAAUAAUAAUUGUUGUCAAAAGAAAAUAUAUCAGCAUCGGAUUCCUUGACAGCUAGCAAGAUUCACUCUUAUCCCUAUUGGAUUUCUUUUGGCUGAAAUGGAAAUCCCUUCCAAUCAGUGGAGGACACGUAACCACAUGGUCCCCCACUCUCAAUGGUCAUCUCUCUCUUAAUCCUCCCUCUUUCCACUCAUAAUAGGGGCUAACACGAAAAAGAAAAAAAAGAAGAAAAAGUUGAGCACGAAAAAGAAGAUGGAAAAACUCACUCACCUCACGUCUCUCUCUCUCCCCCACUCAUUUUACUCCACCCACUCUUCUCUCUCUCUCUCUUUCAUAAUAAUGACUAACCCUCUUCUCUUUCUGAUCACUCAAAUUCUCUUUUCAAAAAAAUAAUAAAACGAAAAGAACAAAACUCUUCAUCUUCCUUUCUCUCCACCUCACCUUCUUCCAUCACCAUCACAAAUCUGACUCUCCAAGUAAAUCUUCAUCUUCGCUUCUCCACCUUUGUUUAACCUAACGAAACACCGCGCGCCGCCGCGAUUACAUGCACAACCAAGCACUUCCCUCCUCUCACACACCCUUCACGAUAACCAUCCUUCAUUUUCCGAUAACCCAAACCCUCAGUCACCGGCGAAACCCUCAGAGCAACCACCAUCUCCGUCCGCGUCAAAGCAACGACCUCCAUACCUCCGUCCUCCAUCGAAAUGCGCCACGAUCCGAAUCACACAAACAACCUUCACAACCAUGACAAUACCACAUCCCUUGAUGUUUUCUAGAUGAUUGAAAGCGUUUUAAAAUUAUCUACUUCCUAGAUUUGGUUGUUGAUGGUCCGAUGGCGACUUCAAUGCACAAUAGAGCUUUGAGCUCAAUCCAUGGACAUUUCUGCUUGGGCGAGAACAAGGGAGAAAACCUCAUGUUUUCUGGAAGGACGUGAGCAAUAAAGCACAGAAGCAACCACAUCAAUCCUUGGACAAUCGGUAAUGUUUAAGUUCGUAUGUUGUAUAGAUUAAAUUCAAGAUUUGUUUUCUGUUUAAGCUAUUUUAGUGAAUUGAGAUUGGAGUUUUCAUGUUGAAAACUUUGAGUUGAUUGUUUGAUAUUCAUUUCGACUGGGUGUGUUUGCCAAAUUUGUUCGGGCGUGAGCUUAUUGUGAGUUUUAUUAUGAGUUGCUUAUUUGAUAUUCCACAUUGUAGUGAUGGUUACAGGUUAUGAAAUAUUGGUUCAUGUUGCAAAUGUAUGGUGAGGCGUUGAAAAUAUGUUGCUUGCAACACUUGUGAUAUUGUGCCAGUAAAUGAAGAAUUGGAAAAAGAGAUCCUAUUUAGUUGUUUUUAUUUAACAUUAAUUUAGCAUGAUUGGUUAAUUGUUUUUUUGAGACUUGAGUUUAAAAUUCAGAUUUUGGGUCAUUUGAAUGGUUAAGAGAUGGGCUCGUUCUUUUACUAGCUUAGUGUAUCCUGGCUUUACUAAUAAUAAAUUUCCAUAUGUUGUAUUAAAUUUGUAAGGAUGUGUGCGAUUGAUGUUUCUGUUUGCGUUGCUUGAUAGAAUUUAUAAUCAAUGGACUCGACAAUAUAUGUCGUUAUGCCACCAAAAACCCAAUAUAUCAAUAGAAUAUUUUCACCGCGUUCGGAUCUUGCGAAUCAUAUUGGGCAUGUUAUUGUUUCGCACAAACCGGUUCGAGCACACCGAC